AUGGAUAACAGCUUUGUGGAUACCCCAAACCAACAUCUGAUGAAUGACCCCUUUGUCUUAAUGGCACAAUCAGCUCCAAGCUACACCCUGAACAACUUGACCAAAAGCGCAGUUCGCAUGGAUUGCGUUGGCUCAGCAAUGGCUAAUUGUGGUCAUGGUGAUGAAAGUACACAAAGCAUGAAUAACAUCACAAGAGAUGAUGGUUGCAGGCUUGUUCUUGGGUUGGGUCCAACACCUGAUUUUUACUCGACAGAUUAUCCGCCCACUGGUGUAUAUAAGUCAAAAGAAUCUCAGACUUUGUCUGGCCAAAGUUUCUCUUUCACUGACCCAGGGGUGCUGAGGCUUGGCCUGCAGACAGAUGGUGCAGAAACAAUUCAGCCUCUGCAAACACAAAAUGAAACAGUUCAUUCUUUUGCUGUUGUUGACGAGGCUUCAACAUCUGCUGCUGUAAGGAGCAUGGGUGGCUACAUGCCAUCCCUACUCUUUGCUCCCCGCUCCAGUUCUUCUGCUGCCAAUGAGACACAAUUACAAAGCAGAGAUUCACUAAACUCCACACACUACAACAGCAAUAAUACUCAGCAUAUUCAACAUCUUCAGCUCAGCCCUGAACCUUCUGCUACGACAGAGACUUCGUUUGGUGUGAGCUCUGAUGUGGUCACUGGAGCAACCACAUCAGAACAACGGAGUCAUCCCCGUCAUCCUAAGAAGUGCAGGUUCAAGGGGUGCUCCAAAGGUGGCAGAGGCUCAUCAGGGCUGUGUAUUGCUCAUGGAGGUGGGCAAAGAUGCCAUAAGCCUGGGUGCCAUAAAGGAGCUGAGAGCAGCACUGCGUAUUGCAAGGCCCAUGGCGGAGGACGGCGGUGUGAGGAGCUUGGUUGCACCAAGAGUGCCGAGGGAAAGACAGAUUAUUGUAUUGCUCAUGGUGGAGGCCGCCGUUGUGAAUAUCCUGAUUGUCCUAAAGCUGCACGAGGUAAGUCUGGACGGUGCAUAAAGCAUGGUGGUGGGAAGAGGUGUGCAAUGGAAGGUUGCAUUCGGAGUGCUGAGGGGAAGGCUGGACUCUGCAUUUCUCAUGGUGGUGGACGCCGGUGCCAGUAUCCGGACUGUGCCAAGGGGGCUCAGGGCAGCACAUUAUACUGCAAAGCGCAUGGUGGCGGCAAGAGGUGCGUGUUUGAUGGGUGCAGCAGAGGUGCAGAGGGGAGCACACCUCUGUGCAAAGCCCAUGGUGGUGGGAAGAGAUGCAUGUUUGAAGGAGGUGGUGUCUGCCCAAAGAGUGUACAUGGUGGGACUGAAUUCUGCGUGGCACAUGGAGGUGGGAAGCGCUGUGCAGCACCUGGCUGCACCAAGAGCGCCCGCGGCCGCACUGACUGUUGUGUGAAGCAUGGUGGUGGUAAGCGUUGCAGGAUUGACAAUUGUGGUAAGAGUGCUCAAGGUAGUACGGACUUCUGCAAAGCCCAUGGUGGAGGCAAACGUUGCACAUGGGGAUCCGGUUGUGAGAAGUUCGCCCGUGGCAAGAGCGGCCUGUGUGCCGCACAUGGAACCUUGGUGGCCAGGCAGCAAGAACAUGGAAUGGUGAAGAGUGGAGGGAGCAUGAUCGGACCAGGCCUCUUCAGUGGCAUUGUGGCAUCAUCAACCACCGCUGCAAGUAGCAUGACAAAUGAGCACUCCUCAUCGGGCAUCAGCACAGCAUCAGAUAGUGACGGCACAGUGAGGAGCCAAGCGAUGAUACCUCCGCAGCUGCUUGUGCCUCGCUCCAUGAUGCCCUCGUCGUCGUCGGAGCCUACUGUGCAUGGGGGCAGAGAAGCAGGCUGUCCUGUUCCUGAGGGAAGGGUGCACGGUGGCGGCCUACUGUCACUCCUCGGUGGCAGCUUCAGGAACGCCAAUAUAGAUAAGCUCUGA
rnacentral:rRNA from 1 species